GGGGUCAUAGCUCAGGAGGUAGAGCAUCCCGCUCGCACCGGGAAGGUCCGGAGUUCGACUCUCCGUGGCUCCAC
rnacentral:tRNA from 1 species